rnacentral:lncRNA from 1 species
UAACCUAAAAAGCUCUAGAAAAACAAUGGAUUUUCUGAGAAUUCUUCAUCAUCAAGAUUUUCGUUAGGUUUUUCCGUAGACAUUAACAUGGAGGGGGACAAAAAAAUCAUGGCAUUGAUCCAGCUUACCGCCAUCUCUGUUAUUUUUCUGAUCAACCUCGUCUUAGUUUGCAUGAAACGACGUGCCACUGUUGCUUCAAAUCGUCUUGCUACUAUCUCUGGGGAGGCCGACGUUGAUGUAGAACUUCCCUAGAUAUGAUGGUAAAACGUUCAUUUCUCUCCCCCUUCUAGCAUUUUUUAUAAAGCAUAUAAUGUUGGAAUUUUUAUUUUUAUAAAGCAAACGAAUUUCUCAAACAUGUUUAGCAUCGUUUUUUUACUUCGAUGAGAGCCCUUGAAUUCGCCUGAAGAGGAUCAUGGGACAAUGGCACCACAUGUGGGAGGCAGUAGUAUAAUAAAAUGCCUGAUUACUAUAUUUGUUAUAAUUUGAUCGAUCAAAAUUUGUUUUAUUAUAAAUAAUUAACUUUUUUCAAUAAUGUAUUUUAUUAGCAGAUAACUUCCUUUCUGGCGGUUGGUACAGUAGGAGUUUUAUGGUGUUAAAGAGAAUAAAGUUGCUUUUGGCGAUAGACUGUUACCUUAAACUGGAUUUUACGUAAGGCUUUGUACUUCCAUCCAUGAUGCAAUAAAAGUGGAGUGAACUUAUUUUAUUUCUUUGGCUUUAAAGAUGAUUUGGGUGUUUUUGGG